UAUCUCGCCCAAGAGUUCACAUCGACGGCGAGGUUUGGCACCUCGAUGUCGGCUCAUCCCAUCCUGGGGCUGAAGAAGGUCCCAAGGGUCCGGCUGUUCGCCGGUUAAAGGGGUACGUGAGUUGGGUUCAGAACGUCGUGAGACAGUUCGGUCUCUAUCCGCCGUGGGCGCAGGAGGCUUGAGGGAACCUUUCCCUAGUACGAGAGGACCGGGAAGGACAAACCUAUGGUGUUCCAGUUGUUCCGCCAGGAGCAUCGCUGGGUAGCUAUGUUUGGCAGCGAUAAGAGCUGAAGGCAUCUAAGCUCGAAGCAUCCCCCAAGAUGAGGCCUCCCUCCCCGAUUAAGUUCGGGGGUAAGACAGCAGCGAGACUAGCUGCUUGAUAGGUCGGAUGUGUAAGUAGGGCAACCUAUUCAGCAUACCGAUACUAACCAGUCGAGAGAUUUGACCC
rnacentral:rRNA from 1 species